UACAGGGGUGCAAACGUUGCUCGGAAUCAUUGGGCGUAAAGCGCACGUAGGCGGUUCGUUAUGUCGGAUGUGAAAGCCCUUGGCUUAACCGAGGAAGUGCAUCCGAAACUGGCGAGCUAGAGUACUAAAGAGGAUCGCGGAAUUCCCGGUGUAGAGGUGAAAUUCGUAGAUAUCGGGAGGAACACCGGUGGCGAAGGCGGUCA
rnacentral:rRNA from 1 species